rnacentral:rRNA from 1 species
GAUGAACGCUGGCGGCGUGCCUAAUACAUGCAAGUCGAGCGAACGGACGAGAAGCUUGCUUUUCUGAUGUUAGCGGCGGACGGGUGAGUAACACGUGGAUAACCUACCUAUAAGACUGGGAUAACUUCGGGAAACCGGAGCUAAUACCGGAUAAUAUUUUGAACCGCAUGGUUCAAAAGUGAAAGACGGUCUUGCUGUCACUUAUAGAUGGAUCCGCGCUGCAUUAGCUAGUUGGUAAGGUAACGGCUUACCAAGGCAACGAUGCAUAGCCGACCUGAGAGGGUGAUCGGCCACACUGGAACUGAGACACGGUCCAGACUCCUACGGGAGGCAGCAGUAGGGAAUCUUCCGCAAAGGGCGAAAGCCUGACGGAGUAACGCCGCGUGAGUGAUGAAGGUCUUCGGAUCGUAAAACUCUGUUAUUAGGGAAGAACAUAUGUGUAAGUAACUGUGCACAUCUUGACGGUAACUAAUCAGAAAGCCACGGCUAACUACGUG